UUGAGAACUUUACGCGAAGUUGAUAAAUUUUUUUGUUGUGAAAAAAACUAAGUUUUACUAGCAUAAAUAGUUGGAUUUUUGUGACCUUCCAAUGGACAGUUUGAUAUUAUAUCACUAUAUUAUAUUUUGCAUAUUGGCAUCCAAAAUUUAAUUUGGCUUUGCCGCUAUUGAGUUCAUUUUAAUUCACGUCAUACUGACGUACACGCUGAGAAAUAAAUUAAGAACCAAAAAAAAAAAA
rnacentral:lncRNA from 1 species